ACCGACAGACUUGGAGUGGUAAAACGUAAACCAAAUGCUGUGCCAAAAAUUUUUGGUGAUCGUAAGGCUCCUGCCGAGAGGAAACCUGUUGGCCUACUGGAGAAACGUACUGAGGAUACAGAGGUCGGAGAGCCUUCGAAUGUGACCAGUGACAUCCGUCCUGCAGAGAACUUGGACACAACAGAAGAUGAAGUCACCACCGUGAAGAACCUAGCUUCAGGCUGGAAUUGAAGCUUUCAAGAGAAAACUCACCCUCUCUCAGAAAAGGGAGAGAAGAGUGUCUUUAGAAAAAGACAGCCUCUUUGCGAGUCUGCACUGUUUAUUCGGUGCAGAUCAGUUUGUAGUAUGAGUGAAGGGGACACGUGAAGGUAGCAAAUGGUCAGUGGAAAGGGCUAAAAAUUCGACCACCUUGUAGUAGUAAGGGGUACAAAGUCCUGCUGGAAAAUAAAUUACCAUUUCCUUCAGAUAGAACCCCAAUAUGUUCGCUACAGAGCAUAAAAGUUAGACCUGGUGUGCCGAGGGAGCUCGUGAGUUCCCUGAAAGUCAAGCUUGCCCUCAUGUUACCAGUGGAGAUGCAUGCUGUUCUCCUGAUGGAUGAGGUUAGUAUCACUCACCAUUGGAAUGUGGUUGAGCAUUGGCUGCACCAUUGAUAAUGAUACGACACCUCCACCAGAUCUCGCCCUUGCAAAAACUAUAGCUUCUAAUGCAUCAGUUGUUAUGCUGGGUGGUAUUACCUCAAGAUGGAAACAAACAAUAGGUUACCAUUACACAGGGCCAUCUUUUUCCAGUUCUCACGCCAGACAUUACUAUAAGCUUUAUUAGGGAAUCUUAGGCACUCGUACAAUGUUCACUGCAUCGCGUCAGUGACGGGGAGGGCAGAAUUGAGCUGUAUGGCGAGAAUUUGGAAUUGUUGUCGAAAGGUUUUCAAAAUUAGUUUCUGCCAGUGUCUUUGUGAUGAUAAUUGGAAACUAAUUUUCCUCACAGAUACACCACACAUUUUGAAAAACGAGGAUUCACUUAGUCAAUGGGCAAUCGGUCUUCCUCUGACGAAAUGUUGUCGAGGGACGUGAUCUGCCUUGUAAUGAGGUACAUAUAAAUCGUGUAUAGCAGUGGCUUGAGGUAGACAGUGGUUUAAGUCUUAAACUGGCACCAAAACUGUGUGAGUGAAGUCUGAUGCCAAACCAUUACGAGAAAAUGAA